rnacentral:lncRNA from 1 species
AGGGUUGGCAUUGGGGGCCUUGUUUAUUUAAGAUCAGAUGAUUAGAAACCUUAAUUGCAUCUGCAGCAUUAAUUCCUCUUUGCUGCAUAAGAUAAGAACAUAUUCACAGAUUCCAGGCAUUAGGAUGUGGACAUCUUUGUGGGGGUGAGGGGCAUUGUUCUGCCUGCCACAAUGUGGGGGACACUGGAGAAGACAGAGCCCUGUCGGGGGAGGGACCAUGCUCCAUGGAGCUCCAGGAGUGGGGAGAAACCAAGGGCAAAAAGAUGGUUGAGGUCUGAGAGCGGGACGGUUUGAUGUAGGGAAGUGCCGUUGUGGGACAGCCAGAAAGAGCUUGCCUUCGGUAUUGGUCAGGCCUGCACACAACAGUGACCCAACCCAGAUGGCUUUAAGUACAAGGGGAUUUUAUUGACUUACUGAACUAAAAAAGCCAGAGGGAGGAACUCUUCCAGGUAUGGGUUGGUGGAUGUUCAGAUGAUGCCCCGACAAUUCCAUUUCUCUUCAUCGCACACGUUUCCUCCUCAUCCGGGAUUGGCUUCAUCCUCAGCCCACGUGAGAUGACAGUGAGGCAGGCAGCACUCGUGCCUCCCAGUCCCCAGCUUUGAGUGCACCAGGGAGGAGGAACUGCGGUCUCAGCACACUUCCCGGCCCCGCCUUGCCCAAUUGGGUGCUGAGUCUGGCUUCCAACCAAUCACAGGACCAGGGGAGCACUUGCCGAAGAUUGGAUUGGAUUUCACGCAAAUCAUGGGUAGAAAAUAGAGGAGGAGUGGGUUCCCAGAGGAAAUUCUGGGCGCUGUUUUACCAGAUGGGCGGUACCCCCUACUCUGUUAUAGGGAGGCAGGAGAGGGAACACUGGGCUGAGAGGCGACCUGGAUUCCAUUUCUGGUUUAGCUGCUGGUUUGCUGCAUGACCUUGAGCAAGUUACUUAGGAACUUCUCUGGGCCUUGCUGUAAAGCAAGGGGGUGAGGCUGGAUGCUCUCUAAGGGACCUUCCAGCUUCGAAAACCUUACCACUCGGAGGCUUUUCCCAUCUGUUUAGCCCAUCUGUUUUCUUGUGCCUGUAGACACCAGUAGUAAAAAUCCUUAGAAAACCCAGUGGGUUUUCUGUAGGGAAAGUUGUGGAGAGUAGAGCUAAGUUUGGGAUUGGCAGCAGGGCUAGACAGGCAUUAGGAAGCUUUGUUCUCUGCAUGCAGUGCUGCUGGGAGGUAAGACCUUGGAUCAUGGGAGAAUUUGGGGCCCAAGCAAAUGGUCAGAGACUAUCACAACCUCGGGCUGGGUCUGCCACUAGGGUUAAGCCUCACUCUGUGCUUGGUGUCAAGACUGAGUGUGUGGCCAGGGUUGGGGGUACAGUGUGAGUCGGGGUCACUCUAUGGCUGAGGUGGAGACUCAGUCUAGACCUGAGGUAAGGGACCAGAAUCUGUCCAGCAGUAGGCAGGGCAGAUGCCAUAAGCUGGUAUAUGGGGGACUCAGGUGUCAUUCAAAAGCCACUUUGGCCACACAUGACUUCUUAAGCACUUAUUAUUAUUAUUAUUAUUAUUAUUAUUAUUAUGAGAUGGAGUCUCGCUCUGUCACCCAGGCUGGAGUGCAGUGGCUCAGUCUCAGCUCACUUGAAGCAAUUCUCCUGCCUUAGCCUCCCAAGUAGCUGGGAUUACAGGUGUGCACCACCACACCUGGCUAAUUUUUGUGUUUUUAGUAGAGACGGGGUUUCACCAUGUUGGCCAGGCUGGUCUUGGACUCCUCAGGUGAUCUGCCCGCUUCGGCCUCCCAAAAUGCUGGGAUUACAGGCGUGAGCCACUGUGCCUGGCCGGCAUUUAUUAUUAUUUAGUAGCUUAUAAAUUUUACUUAUUCUCUUGUUUCUUGGCCACUGCCUUUGACUAGAAUGUUGAGUCUAUGCAGGCAAUGACUUUGUUCUUGGUGGCAUUUCCAGCCCUUAGAACAGUGCUCAGCCAUUGUAGGUGCUCAAUAAAUAAUUGUUGAGUGACUAAAUGAGUCAUGCUGAGUGCACGCAUCCAGGGGUGGCAGUGCUGUAUGCCUUAGACUAGCAGUUAGAUUGUCAGGGGGCCAGGGCCAGGCUUCAGUAUAUUUUGGAGCUUCCCCAGGCUAGUCUGCUGUGCUGCAAAGUUUUAGAGCUACUGCAUCAGACCACGUAAAGUACAGGAGGGGACAUGCUACUGCAGAGGACACACAUGGUGGCCGCACAUGUGCAGGAGGGAGGAGGGAGACCAGAGGUGUGCUGCAGCGAGGCUGGAGUUCUGGGCGUUAGGAUGGAGACUUUGUGUCCUAGAUCUCUAUCACAUUCUCCGGACACCCGCCAUGGAGGUGAUUACUCUGCUAUCACAGAAUGGAUUUUGGCCAGGAGUCAAGAAGAGCUCUUGCUUCCCAGCUAAACGAUGGCAAAUCAAUUUGAGGUCUUGGCUGGAGAGGCUGAUUAGGGCUGGCAGCUGGGGAGGCUCUGGCAGGCAGAGCCAAGGCAAGGCUCAGCUAGGCCUUGGAGAAGGUGGCUGGCAGGAGCUGGGGGCCAGCGUUGGGGUCCAAGAGCCCAGCCUUCUCUUGAAGGGUGGGGGAAGCCUAGGUGCGUGACUGUUCGGGUUUGGGGGUGCAAGUUCUGUUUGUUUAGAAUAGUAAUAUGAACAGUCUUAGUCAUCAUUUAUUGAGAACUUGCCUUGUGCUGGGCACUUUAACAUAUUUUUGCCAUGACUGGGCAGUGCAAGUCUUAUCUCUUUUUACGGAGGCCCUGAGAGAUGAGAUAAUGUGAUCAAGGUCAAAUGAAGCCUGGCUUGGAACCAGGUUCCAAGUGUUUGCUCAUGAUAGGCUGCUUGCUGUGUGUUGAUUUGCAUGUCCCGACUACAGGCUCCGGUGACCAUGUCAGAUUUGGGUCUGAAAGGCAGUGCUUAGCCUGGGUUUGGCUGUGAGGAGGCCCUUGGUAGGAAGGCACUUGCUGAUGGCAGAAAGGAAUGAGGAGAUGUUUUCUCAAUGGAUGGAUGAAUGAAGGAGUGUUUAUUAACUAGAGACUAAAGAAAGAGCUGCAGGUGUGCUGAGGUCUGCAUUGUGAGGUAGACAACCUGCAAGGCGGGGGGCGGAGGGGGGGGGCACUCCCCAGGGAGCUUCCCUCCCAGUAUUCAUGCCCUGUGUAGCAUCCGCUCACAUUGAAUCACAGCUGGUUGGUGUGGCUAAUAAAAUACUGCAGAAGGUAUGGUAUGUGUCUGAGGCUAGGUCAUGAAAGACAUUGCAGCUUCCACCUUGCUCUCUUGGAUUACUCACUCUGGGGGAGGCUAGCUGCCAUAUUGCAAGGAUGCUAAAGAAGUUCUAUGAAGAGGCUCUGGAAAAGAGGCCUCCUGCCAAUAGCCAGCACCAGCUGCCAGUCCCAUGACUGAGCCACCUUGGAGGUGGAUCCUCCAGCCCAGUCAAGCCUUCAGAUGAGACUGCAGUACUGGCUGACAUCUUGAUUGUAGCUUCAUGACAGACCCCAAUCCAGAACUACUUAGGCCACUCCAGAAUUCCUGACCCACAGAAAUGGACAGAAAAUAAAUGUUUAUUGCUUGAAGCCACUAAGUUUUAGGGUGAUUUAUUUAUUUAUUUUUAUAGAAAUAGGAUCUCACUCUGUUGCCCAGGUCGGAGUGCAGUGGCAUGAUCAUAGCUCACUGCAGCUCAGCCUCCUGAAGCAAUGCUCCCACCUCAGCCUCCUGAGUAGCUAGGACUACAAGUGUGCACCACCACACUCAACUAAUAUUUUGGGGUAAUUUAUUAUGCAGUAACAGGUAACUACUGCAAAUUGCUAAGUGUCUUUUGAGCUAAAAUUCAAGAGCGCUUCCUGAAGGAGUCAGUUAUUCCCUCUGUCCCCUAACUCACUUUAGCCCUUGACUCUCACCUGUCUUGUGUUACAUGAAAAGACAGAAGACAGAUUGGUUUUUUAAAUCCAGGCUUCCCAAUUUACUAUUUGGAUGACUGGAGGAUUUUUAUCAUGACAAAUUAUUCUCCUUAUCCUUUUCAUUUCUUCUCCCUCCUUUCCUUUCCUCCUCUAGUUACUUUUCUUCAUCAGUCUUGCUAUAGUAAUAGUAGCAUUUAGUAGCAAUGGCUGUUUUUUUUUUUUUUUUUUUGAGAUGGAGUUUUGCUCUUGUUGCCCAGCCUGGAGUGCAGUGGUGCGAUCUUGGCUCACUGCAACCUCCACCUCCCAGGUUCAAGAGAUUCUCCUGCCUCAGCCACCCAAGUAGCUGGGGUUACAGGCAUGUGCCACCAUGCCCGGCUAAUUUUGUAUUUUUAGUAGAGACAGGAUUUCACCAUGUUGUGCAGGCUGGUCUCGAACUCCUGACCUCAGGUGAUCCACCUGCCUUGACCUCCCAAAGUGCUGGGAUUACAGGCAUGAACCACCACGCCCAGUUGCUAUUAUUUUUUAGGUACCUGCUAUGUGCCUGGCACUGUGCUAGGGGAUCUAUGGGCAUUAUUUUAUUCAGUUCCUUCAAUGACCCUGGUGGUCAUGGUGGGCAUUAGUAUAUAUAGUAAUUUUUAUUAUGGAUUAUUAUGUAUGUAUUAUAAUACAUAAUAAUUUUUAAAAAUAGAUAAAACCCAGGUUCAGGGCUGUUGGAUCACUUGCCCAGGAUCAGAUGCAAGGAAUCAGAUUGAAGGCCAGGUUUGUCUGAGUCCAAAGCCUGUGUCCAUUCCCAUUUCACGCUUUUACCUGUGAGCCUCAGCUUUCUCAUAUGUAAAGUGGGGAGAAUACUGACUUCACAGAUUCCUGUUGGGAUGAGGAGAGCAGGAGGCUUUAAAGUAAUCAGCCUCCAUGUGUGGCAUACAGCAGGUGGUUGGUGAGUAGGGGUUCCCUUGCCUUCCCUUUUUCUCCCCUGUCUUAUGUACUUUGACAUGGGCUGUCUUGACCCUCAUGUAGACAGGGCCAUGGCAAGUGCCUCUCACAAUGAGAGCAGCAGGGAGUUGAUGUGGCCAAGAGCUGAAGACCCCUGGUCCUGUCCCAGGAUAGAGUGGAUGCCCUGGGUCUGGAGCCCACGGAGAUGGUGACACCAGCUCUGACCCACCCACUGAGUCUGUGCAAUGUGCUGGCUCUGUGCUCCGACGGGGAAGUGCCCCGCCUGAGCUCAACCAGAGGGGAAGGGCUGGAGCCUGCACUCAUACCCAGACUAGUGCCUGUGGAGACGCUGGGUGUGUAGCGUUGUCUCCAGCUGGAGAAUCCCAGCUGAGAAAACAUUGUCCUCAGGGGGUAUCGCAUCAUCUCUCAGAUCAGGCAAGAAGCCCCAAUUAAUUACAAGUGCUAAGUGAGUGGUCUGGAAGCAGGAUUUUGCAGUCAAUUAAAGAGAUGCUGGAGGAGGCUUCAUUAACCCCCUGCUUCCUGGCAGCUUUUGGUUUAGGAGAAAGAGGGGAGCUGUCUGCCUAGAAUGAGCUUCCCAACACUGUGGACAAUGUAAGCAGGAGUGCGCCCUCUACCUAAGAUGACAUAGGAGGUUUUCCUGAAUUGCAUGGGAGGAUGGAUUUGACUUUACAUCCCCUUCCCAUCCCAGGUUUCUUGAUUUCCUGUGCUUUGAUCCUGUAGUGAAGUCAAUAGUCAAGACAUGGCUACAUUUUGGGGUUCACCUUCCUCACAGCCCCAGAUGAUCUUCCUCAAUCUGCACAUCUGAUCAUGUCAUAUCUCUCCAGUGGCACUGCUCAUGCUGUGGUGGGCAGCUGUUCUGUUUCUCCAUUAUCUCCUCCUUCAGCACGUAGGUUCCUGGAGGGAGGGCAGUAUGAUUGGUAUUCUUGGUGUCUAGCACAUGGUGGAAGCCCAGUGAAUACUCAUUUUACCGGAGAGGAUUAAGACUCUUAUUUGGAGCUCUGGCUUCUCCAAGGCCCUGCUCUACUCCAGUGCUUUGUAGGAAACGGGGAGUUUGCCUCAGUCUCUAUGGUGGGCAGCCUCUAAGAUGCCCCCAAUAAUCCCCUGUCCUAGUAUUCACACCCUGUGCGGUCCCCUGCCCAAGAGUGUGGGUGAGUCCUGUGACUUACCUCUAGCCAAUAGAAGACGGCAAGGGUGACGGGGGAGUAACCUCCAUGAUUAGUUUAUAUAACAACGUGGCUUACAUCUUGCUAGCAGACUCUCUGUUGCCUUUGUGGCUUGCACGCUUUGGUGAAGCAAGCUGCCCUGGGGUGAGCUGCCCCAGUGGGAGAGGCCCACCUGGCAAGGGCUAGGGGAUGGCCUCCAGCCAACAGUCAGCCAAGAACUGAAGCCCGCAAUCCAACAGGAACUGAAGCCUGCCAGUAAUCAUGUGAGCUUGGAAGUGAGUCGUGCCUAGCUGAGCCUUCUGAUGAGACCCCAACCCUGGCCUGCACCUUGACUGCAGCCCUGUGAGAGGUCCUGAAGCAGAAGGACCCUGGUAAGCUGUGCCGGGACUCCUGACCCACAGAAAUGGAGAUAACACACAUGUGUUGUUUUAAGCUGCUGAGUUUGUAAUAAUUUGUUAUGUAGCCAUCGAUCACUAGCACGGCCUCCCAUUGCACAC